GACGUGACCCUGGGCGUGGCAUCCACGUUGCGGGUGGCGUUUCCCUUCCCCGACCCGGUCCCGCCGUCUGCACCCCUGGAGAGCAGGGCUGCUAGCCUGGGCGCGCGGUGAGCAGCAGGGUGGGCUGCACGGCGGAACGCCGAGAGCAAGGACGCAGAUCUAGGGCGCGGGGUGCCUGUGCUGAGGACGCAGCGCUGGACUCGGAGUCCGGAGUUGGAGGGGCCGCCCGGGUCACGUAGUACAGAUUUCCUGGGCGUCUGUCCGGGCCGACAGGUCGUGGCAAGACUGUCCGCAUCCAAGCGGGGUCAGGGACUCGGACACAAGCAGCAGCCAUCAGCUCCAAAAAGAGGUUAAAGUAACUUACUGCAGGAGCCAGGAGUGGAAAGGGGGUGUUCAUUCUGGCAUCAAGGAUCCUUCAUCGAUUCUCUUCUUUGAUAUACAGAGAAAUACCGGAAAGAGUGUACCUGGCAGAGGGAGGAGCUAACGCAGAGGCUCGGCAGUGCACGGGAGAGCGAACCCGCUCUGUGAGCUUUGCAGAGGGGUUGGGGCUGCCAGAGGUGAGGAGGGGCACGACCGGGAAACCCUGAAAUGGAUGAAAAGGAAUCGUGGUUAUGCACGUUUUGCAAAGACCCUAGAGUGUUCGAAGGAGCGUGUGUUCAUCGACUGCAAAGUCUCCCGCUUACUCUGGACUUCUGUGCCCAAGAGUGUGGAAGGGAGGUCCUGGAGCGGCUCGCUGACCCCGAGUUCCCCGCAGCACCACUUUUGAUGGCUCUCUGAAGGGCUUCGGGCGAGCGUCCUUUGUUCCUGUAGGGCCGGCCUUGCCCUUCUGGUUCUUUGGGUGGUGGGGAGGCUGCGUGUGUCCCCUAGCCUCUUGCUCUCCAGGCUCACUUUCAUCCUUAUUGCCUUACCCUCAAAUCCCUACUGGAGGACGUUGCUUUCCCUUUCCCCUCCAAUGUUCUCCCUCCCAGCCCUUAGCUCAGCCGACUGACCCCAACCUCCUCUUUUCCUUGGUGCAAUCCUUCAGUAGAUCUUGAUUGCUAUACUCUCCAGAUGGCAACAUGGCCCUCCUCUUUAAGCCACCCAUCUGUCACCUGGAUGACUACAACAGCACUCAGUGGCCUUCAGCCUCCACCCUAUCCCAGCUACUUCACCCUCCAUGCAGCAGAAGGGCCUCUACCUUGUCUUCAUGUUCCAGUGGUUGCCAUAAAAUCCAGACUCUUGACCCUGAACCUGCAGGAUCCCAGGUCCCACCCAUUUCUCCACCUGUCUCCUCCCUUUGAUCAUCUGUGUGCCUUGCCAGUUCUCUGGACCACUUCCACCACUCCUCCUGGACCUGGGGAUCUUGGCACCUCCUGUUCUCUCCACUGUGGCCUUCUGCCUUCUCACAAGCUGACUUCUUUUCCUUGGGCUCAGCUGCAGCAGCACCUACAGGCCUUCAGUGCCCGCUCCCGUUGUCCUCUCUAGCUAAGAGACCAGCCCAGUUGGGGCCAUGAUGCUUAUCAUUGCAACAUUAUUUCAUAUGUUUAUUUACUUAAUGUCUAUCUUCCUGAUUGGUGUUUCAGCCUCAGUGGGGUUGGGGGUGGGCUACUUCUGCUUUGCACAUUGCUGUAUCCUAGUGUGUCACUCGGGGCCUGGCCCUUCCUGAAUGAUAAGUAGAUAGGUGUUAGGAACCAUUAAAGCUGAGCCGCAGCCCGGCAUGGUAGCACACACCUAUAAUUCCAGUGGCUUGGAAGGCUGAGAUAGGAGGAUGGCAAGUUCAAAGACAGCCUCAGCAAUGACAAGGUGCUAAACAACUCAGUGAGACCCUGUCUCUAAAUAAAAUACUAAAAAAGGACUGGGAAUGUGGCUCAGUGGUAGAGUGCCCCUGAGUUCAAUCCCCGGUACCAAAAAAAAGAAAAAAAAAACGGCUGAGCUGCCAUUCACUCAGUCGCGGCAUAGUAAGGAAAGAAACAAAUCCAGCCUCCAGCCCUCUGCCCAGGUGCCAACCUUCCCUGUACCAUAGCUGUCCCUACAGUCUGCAUAGAAAAUGCAGCUGUAGCCAUUUGCUACCUCACUGUCCCUCCUUUCUGGAUACCUUGCCCUGGGAUAGCCUGGCCUUCCCAGCUUCUCCUCCAGCCCCACUGAGCAGCCGACUGGAGCAGCAAGUGGAUGAAGAGUCCUCUGCAGGCAAGAGAGGAAGGCUGUUGAGUAAUCAACGAUCCCAUGUGUGUCCCGGAUACGGAUGGUGCUGUAGUAUCUUGUCCCCUGAGGUCUUUGGCUCAAGGGGAAGGAAGACAGGGACUUUGCUAAGGAGUCUGUCUUUGAUCACUCUCCCACCCCCUCAACAAAAGUCAGAAAUCAUCUGGGGUUUCCGUAGGACUUGGAAACCAAAAAGGAGCCUAGCGCUGGGAGCCAGGAUACCUGGGUUUCCUGUCUUAGAUUCCACACUGGCAUGUUCUGGGACCAUGGAAGCCCCUUCCAGGCUUGGGCUGUUUCCUCAUCUCUAUACUGUGCUGGGGGAGGGUGGAGGGAGCAUAUGGUACUCCCUGAGGACCCUUUCCAACUUGUCUUGCUGUGACCCUGAAGGGGCCCCCUGGAGGUUCCGGCGCCCUCAUCUCCCGGGCACUGGGGAGAGCCUAUAACUGAUGUCCUACUUCCCCCUCUCCCCAGCUCCUGGGCUGUGAGUUUAGAUGGGAGUCUCUGCAGGGCUUGCAGGUGACACAUCCAAUCACAGGCUUCAGGCCCCAGAAGAGAGGAGCCAGCAGCCAAGGGGAACUUCUUUUGUGGGAUGAGAGAUGGGUAUUGGAACCCAAAGAGGACCAGGGUCUGCGCUGUAAGCCUCGUAACCUUACUUAUAUGUGGGAGUCGGGGCCCCUCUCUAGGCCUCUUUUUAAAAAAAGAAAAAAAAAUUUUUUGUAGUUGUAGAUAAACAAAUGCCUUUAUUUUAUUUGUUAAUUUUUAUGUGGUGCUGAGGAUCGAACCCAGUGUCUCACACAUGCUAGGCAAGCGCUCUACCACUGAGCUACAGCCCCAGCCCUAGGCCUGUUUCUUAAGAAAACGAGACAGUUGGAUGAGAUGCUCUGUUAGGAUUCUUUCAAACACCAAACCUUAAUGGUCUUGUUCACACCCCACAUUAAGUGGCCUCCUAUGAGCAGGUAAGUCAGUGAAGGUGUGUGUGUGUCUUCAGGUGGCAGAUGUGAAGUAGAAGAAGGCAGUCACCAUUUCACACCUUUAAAAUAAUCAUGUGGCUGGGUGCGGUGGCGCUACCUGUAAUCCUAGUUGGCUUGGGAGGCAGAGGAAGGAAGAUUGAAAGUUCAAAGCCAGUCUCAGCAAUAUUGAGGCACUAAGCAACUCAAUGAGACCCUGUCUCUAAAUAAAAUACAAAAUUUUAUUUUAGAGUAGUCCUCUAAAACCACUAAUGUGGCUCAGUGGUUGAGUGCCCCUGAGUUCAAUCCUCAGUUUACCCCCGUUCCACAUAAUUAUCUCGUAGGAAAUUUCUUCCCUCUGUCACCACUUCUCACCCAGUUAGUUAGGUGAGAGGUUGCAGGAAGCCCAGAGCCUGGGACCUCCCUUGGUGCUUCAAAUCUACUUGUUCAACAUACUUCAGAUACACUUUUCUAAGUACAGGGAAGACUGCAGGACAGAGCUCCUGCUCUUGGGGGGCUCCCACCCUGUGGGGACAGUCAGCAAGAGGAACAAUUCAGCCACACAGUGCACAGAAGUCAGUGGGUGCCCUGGGGAGAAAGGAACCCUGGAGAGGGAGAGAGGGGUGUUGGGUGAGGACUACUCUAAAUAGCAUGGCUGGUUUGGCCUUUGGUGAAGUUGAUAUUUGCACCAAGACCUCAAGCAAAGCAAGUGGAGGGAAUGGCCAAGGCCAAGGCUCUGAGGAGUUUGCCUGGGCAGUAGCUGACCUUGGCAGAGAGGAGGCUCCCGAGCUGGGGAGAGUGGGAGCUACAGCCUCCUAGGAGAAACCAACAUGAGUCACAGAAUCACCAAAGUCAAGCAUGGCAGUGGGCAGAUCUGGAUAGGAGCUUCCUGGGGCAAGGACAGUUUGAGGGAGGUGAAGCUUAGAGAACAAGUUGACCGGAAGAGCACAUUCACUGAGGAGUGGUUGGUGAGGAUGAGGUGCCAGGCACCUGCUCUGUCCCACCCUGGGAUGUCAUUGCAGCCCUACUUGAGCCUGAGAGCAGGUGGGAUUACUCCUGGCGGGAGGUUUGCCAGGUGGAGGUAACUAAGCAGCAAAAGGGCACAGGGGCUUGGGGUGUGGGGUUCACCAGGUUGUCUUGACCUGGUCUGCGUGCACACGGGGACUGGUGUUUGUGCACUUGCUCUGGAGCAACCACGCAGGCAGGGCACCUCUGAGCUGCUGGAGCACACCAGGCUGGUGGAGCACUGCUGGGACGCAUGUGUGGCACAGCAGGUGCUGCCAGCCCCUCCUGCCAAGCCCUGCCUGGGCCUUUCUUGUUCCCUGGCAUUUCUCCCAGAAUCAGAACAGUGUUUGGCUCAUAGUAAUGGUUUACUACAUCUGCGUUGAGUGACUGGAGUAUAGGAUGAUGGCCGAUACAAGACUGGGAUCCAGGAUUGCCUGUUGAGGUAUAGAAUGAAGUUCCAGGUGCCAGCCUACUGAGGUAUGAAUCCUGGCCCCAUCAUUUACAAGUUGUGUGAAAAUGGGCAAAUUGCUGAUCUUCCCCAAGUCUCAGUUUCCUAAUCUGUAAAUUGGGGGCAAUAAUGGUCCCUACCUCAAAUGGUUGCUAUUAAGAUUCACAGAGUGUCAAAGCUCUUCUACUCUGCUGUUAAAAUGGCUUCUGCCACUUUCAUCUGCACUGAUCCUCAUAGUAGCCACACACCAGAAAAGGACACAGGUGAGUGUGGUGGCCAAGCCUAUGACCCCAGAGACUCAGGAGGCUUAGCCAGGAGGAUCACAAGUUCAAGGCCAGCCUGCAUAAGUCAGCAAGACCUUAUCUCAAAAAUAAAAUAAAAAGGACUUUGGGGCUGGGGCUGGGGCUCAGUGGCAGAGCACUUGCUUAGCAUGUGUGAGGCACUGGGUUCGAUUCUCAGCACUAAUAAAAAUAAAUAUAUAAAAUAAAGGUGUU
rnacentral:lncRNA from 1 species